GACGAACGCUGGCGGCAUGCCUUACACAUGCAAGUCGAACGCGAAAGCGGGGCAACCCGCAAGUAGAGUGGCGAACGGGUGAGUAAUACAUCGGAACGUGUCCAGUAGCGGGGGAUAACCUCUCGAAAGAGAGGCUAAUACCGCAUACGACCUACGGGUGAAAGAGGGGGAUCGCAAGACCUCUCACUAUUGGAGCGGCCGAUGUCGGAUUAGCUAGUUGGCGGGGUAACGGCCCACCAAGGCUACGAUCCGUAGCUGGUCUGAGAGGACGACCAGCCACACUGGAACUGAGACACGGUCCAGACUCCUACGGGAGGCAGCAGUGGGGAAUUUUGGACAAUGGGCGCAAGCCUGAUCCAGCCAUGCCGCGUGA
rnacentral:rRNA from 1 species